GGUCAUGAGUGCCAGCGUCAAGCCCCGGCUUGCUGGCCGGCAACCCUCCAACCGCGGUGGGGUGCCCCGGGUGAUGACCAGGUUGAGUAGCGGUGACGGCUACGCGGCAAGCGCGGGUC
rnacentral:ncRNA from 2 species